AAAAAGGCUCUUUUCAGAGCCACCCACAGGCUCACUGAAAAGAGUU
rfam:Otolemur garnettii contig059043, whole genome shotgun sequence.